AUAUAUUGUAUAUAACAAAUUUAUUGUAAGAACAGAUAAUACACAAGUAAAAUGGUGGUUAACCAGAAAAAUACAAGAUUCGGUAACAACAAAAGAAAUUAGAAGACUAGUAUUAAAUAUAUUAAACUUUACAUUUACAAUUGAAGGAAUAAAGACUAACAAGAAUGGUGUUGCAGACUACUUAUCAAGACAAAACUACUCAGACUGAGAACAAAAAUGAAGAUACAAUCGAAGAGCUACUUAAAGCCAUUACUACACUUUGUACCAAAGUGGAUAGAAUGGACAAUGAGAUACAAAAGUUAAAGACUAAUGAAGAUAACCUGAAGUCUAAAGCUAAUAUAAGUCAGCAGCAUGACUAUAAAAAUGCGGAGCUACGUCGAUCGGAAGAUGAUAAAAUUUCAGAGAUAAAAAGAGACGAUGGAAAACUCCCUAAACCCAAAACGUUUGUUUAAAUACAGUUGCAGGUACAAGCAGGAAAGUUCGUGAGAAAUCACGAACUACAAACUUAAACCAGUUAUUUAUAAAACCAUUUACCCAAAACACACAAAAACAUAUACCCACAGAACCACAAACUUGUACAUACGCAGUUAGUAUACAGAGUAAUAAAAAAAGAUACAAUUAUAUCACACAAUCAUACGUUGAAAAUAUAUAUAAGAUCCAAACCUAUUUAAAUCUCAACCCCAGAUCUAACAAAACCAAAGAUCUAAACCAAAACUAUAUAACCCAAAAAUUACAAGGAUACAAUAGACUUAUAGCACAACCAAAAACUAGUGCUAAUCUAGUCAAGACAUGUUAUAGUUAUGGACUACUAAGUACAAUAUUUACAUACGACGGAGAAGAAAUUAGUAGAAUACCAGAGUUAUACAAAGCAUCUAUUACAUAUAAAAGAGUUACAAAAGGAAAUUUGUUUUAUAUUAAGUUUUAUACAGCACGAGCAGAGAUAUUGUAUGAAGAAAUUAGGUCACCGAUUCAAGUUAUUAAGAUAGGAUUAACAAAAUAUAUGAUCAUACCAAAAGAUAUUGGACAUCUGAACAAAAUACCAAAAAUGUAAAUACCAGAUUUCUAUGCCAAUAAAAGAAUAAUGGGUAUAUCAACUAUCAUAUAAAAAUUAGCAAACAAUUAUUUAAAUGGAAACGCUAUAUGGAGUUAUUACGCUAGAGAUCAAGUUAUGAUAUAUUCGAACUCGAGGGAAUUAAGAAGAGAAGAUAUGGAUGAAGUGCAGCGAUGUAUUUUGUCACUAUUAAAACCAGAAGAACAACCUACGACAAGAGCAUUGAAAAAGGAAUUUAUUUUAGAAGAAUUAUUAAUCAGAUAUUGAAAAUUUAUUGGACACAAAUAUCCAUAUCACAGAUGAUCCAAAUGCAAUGGAGGAGAUAACGUUAUACUAGAUGUUGAUUUGAAAUAAGGAUAAGGAGAAAAAGAUGCAAUAUAAGAUAAGGUGAAGAAAAGAAAAAGAGUUAUGGCAGACAAAUAAAAAAUGACAAAAGAAAAAAGAGACAUAAAGAUAGACAAUGUGGCAAACAAAGAGAUAGAAAUCUUUGGAAAAAUGUAAAAAUAAAGAGAUAAGAUUCCUUUGUACAGUAAAUAACUUUUGCUUUUUUGAAAAGUCAAUGUGUAUAGCCGGCAUUUGUAAAGUUUUGUUUAAAAAGUCGUAAAGUAUAUAUAGUAGAUGCACUUAUGUGUAGGCUUAGGAUUUAGUAUAUAUAGAUUGUCAAAUUGUAAAUGAAAGGCAGGCAAUGCCAAACUAAUGUUCAACUUAAUAAAUCCUCUCUCAAAAUACAAACCUCUCUUAAAUAUACAAACUAAGAAAAACAUAUGGAAAAAUCGGAAAUACAAUCAGAUAUCUCAGAUAGCAUGACAAAUCAAGAGGCAAAUAUAUAUUGUUUAUUAGAUAUGCAGAAUUAAUUUCAUAUAUUCCUGAAUAUCAUAUUUAUGAUUGAUUAAAUUUCAUAUAUUCCACUGUGAGAUGGCAUAGUCUAGAAGUUUUCUCCCUAUUUCCCGUUUACUAACAAACUAGAAUUCAUGAUUCAAAUAUUUCUAGUGUAUAAUAACUAACAUAAAUUUAAUCAAUCAUAAAUAUGAUAUUCAGGAAUAUAUGAAAUUAGUUCUGCAUAUCUAAUAAACAAUAUAUCUUUGCCUCUUGAUUUGUCAUGCUAUCUGAUUGUAUUUCCGAUUUUUCCAUAUGUUUUUCUUAGUUUGUAUCUUUUACAGAGUUUUGUAUUUUGAGAGAGGGUUUAUUAACUUGAACUUUAGUUUGGUAUUCCCUGUCUUUUAUUUACAAUUUGACAAUCUAUAUAUACUAAAUCCUAAGCCUGCACAUAAAUGCGUCUACUGUAUACUUUACGACUUUUUAAAUAAAACUUUACAAAUGGCCGGCUAUACACAUUGAACUUUCAAAAAAGCAAAAGUUAUUUACUGUACAAAGGAAUCUUAUCUCUUAAUUUUUAUAUUUUUUCAAAGAUUUCUAUCUCUUUGUCUGCCACCUUCUCUAUCUUUAUAUCUCUUUUUUCUUUUGUCAUUUUUUCUUUGUCUGCCAUAACUCUUUUUCUUUUCUUCAACCUUAUCUUAUCUUGCAUCUUUUUCUCCUUAUUCUUAUUCCAAAUCAACAUCUAGUAUAACGUUAUCUUUUCCAUUGCAUUUGGAGCAUCUAUGAUCUGGAUAUUUGUGUCAAAUAAGUUUGCAAUAUCUGAUUAAUAAUUCUUCUGAAAUAAAUUCCUUUUUCAAUGCUCUUGUCGUAGGUUGUUCUUAUGAUUUUAAUAGUGAAAAAAUCCAGCAUCUACUGGAUGGAGGGGCACCUCAGCUUGUGGAUCUGGAUAGAACCGAUAUGUUGGAGGAUUCCGAGCCUGGUGGAAAUACCUCAGCGCUGUAUUUAAACAAACGUUAUGAGUUUGAGGGAGUUCCCCAUCGUUUCCUUUUAUCUCUGGAAUUUUAUCAUCUUCCGAUCGACGCAGCUCCGCAUUUUUAUAGUCAUGCUGCUGACUUAUAUUAGCUUUAGACUUCAGGUUAUCUUCAUUAGUCUUUAUCUUUUGUAUCUCAUUAUCCAUUCUGUCUACUUUGGUACAAAGUGUAGUAAUUGCUUUGAGUAGCUCUUCGAUUGUAUCUUUAUUUUUGUUCUCAGUCUGAGUAGCUUUGUCUUGAUAAAUAGUCUGCAACACCAUUCUUGUUAGUCUUUAUUACUUCAAUUGUAAAUGUAAAGUUUAAUAUAUUUAAUAUCAAUCUUUUAAUUUUUUUUUUGUUAUUGAA